rnacentral:rRNA from 1 species
UACGUAGGGUGCAAGCGUUAAUCGGAAUUACUGGGCGUAAAGCGUGCGCAGGCGGCUAUGCAAGACAGAUGUGAAAUCCCCGGGCUCAACCUGGGAACUGCAUUUGUGACUGCAUGGCUAGAGUACGGCAGAGGGGGAUGGAAUUCCGCGUGUAGCAGUGAAAUGCGUAGAUAUGCGGAGGAACACCGAUGGCGAAGGCGGCUAUCUGGACCGACAUUGACGCUGAGGCGCGAAAGCGUGGGGAGCAAACAGG